UGACAGUGGCAGGAAGCGAUUGAACUUGGCUCUGUGGAGCUCCCACUUACCUUGUCACAGGAGGAGGGUUCAAAGGCAGCUGGCUUGCAUGCAUGAAUCCCCAACAAUCAAGGCUCUAAGGUGGAAGGAGAGGAAUGGAUCUACUGUUUCUUGACCAUCACACGGUUCCUGCAGUUUUAAACAGCAAAUCCCAACAAUCUGUCUGCUUGAAAUAUGGCCAAUUCUCUUCUCUUCAUAAACACAAGAGAUUCUGCAGAUGCUGGAAACCCAGAGCAACACACACACGCUGGAGAAACUCAGCAGGAAAAUAAAGCAACACAAAAGAAUUUAUGAAAAACUACACAGAAGCAGACUGGCAAAGAACCAAAGUGCAAAUGAAGACAAAUUGAGAAUGAGUCCAUUGGUUCAGUGUUGAGAUGAGUGAAGUUAUUCACGCUGGUUCAGGUGCCUGAUGAUUGUAAUGUAACAGCUGUUCCUGAGCCUGGAUCUAAUGCCCGAUGGUAGCAGUGAGAAGAGAGCAUGGCUUGGAUGGUGGGGAGUCCUUGAUGAUGAAUGCUCCUUUCUUGUGGCAGCACUCCUUGUGAAUGUGUUCAAUGCAGGGGAGAGCUUUGCCUAUGAUGUAUCCAUCACUCUCCAAAGACUUUUCCAUUCCUGGGCAUUGGUGCUUCCAUCCAAGGCCGUGGUACUACAACCACUUCCCAAUGCGCUUCUGUGGAAGUUUGUUAAAGUUUUAGAUGGCAUGCUGAAUCCAGGCAAAUGAUAAGUGAACAACAGGAAUUCUGCAGAUGCUGGAAAUUUAAGCAACACACAUCAAAGUUGCUGGUGAACGCAGCAGGCCAGGCAGCAUCUCUAAGAAGAGGUACAGUCGACGUUUCAGGCCGAGACCCUUCGUCAGGACUUGUGUGAUA